ensembl:lncRNA
CAGCAUUCUCGUAACAGUCUGUGAGUCACAACCUUACCAAUCAGAGGCUGAGUUCCUCUCCUACCUUCCAUUUUUAGGAGGUACCGGUUUUGUCCUGUGGGCUUAGCUUCUGGCUUUACGGGUAUUCAUUCCGUUUCAGCUGCUUUGGAUCAUUCUGGGAUUUCAGGAGCCCACCCCAGCGGAUUUACAGCAGACAGUGCUUCAUAGGGCUCUACGAGUUUAUUGUAUUAGCAGUUAUUUGUGCGUUGAAUUGGUUCAGUAAGUCUCUUCCAACUCAAGGUGUUGGACACCGAAGGAUACACAAGAAAUCCCGAGUCAACACCCAGUUUCCAAUCCUCUUCUCAACUGCCUUUGUCCAAACAGAAAGUAAGACUGCAUGUUUUUGGCUAUUCACAAGACUGCGUUUAGCCAGCGUAUCAAAACUCACUCAUUUGCCGUAGCAGACGUUAGCCCUGCGCCCCGUGCCCCGGUUUCAGCCCAGGUAGGGCUAACAUCGAACCAGUGCCGGGCCGGGCUGCUCUGUGGGAAGAGCUGCCACCAUGAUGGCGUGGGGAAAGGGAGCCCAUGCGCUGUGCGUUGGACACAGCAGUAACUGGAUCCAGGCCCAAAAGCAGCAGCACAAUCUGCACCCCUUCUUCCAUAGCAUUUACAUCAGCAGCAGCCGCUGGAGCUGCUCCAGCCAGCCAGGCCUGGGGCACUGUGCAGGGAUACGGCCGCCAUGGCGCGUGGGCCUGAGGGGCCGUUGGGGUUCCUCCAAGCAGAACCACGCGUGGCAGUAAUGCCUGGUGCCAAAAGGUAAAAUGGGCUGGAGGAGGGGAACAAGGCCCAGGAAAGUAGGAAUCAGCAUCUGCUCUUGGCAGCCUGUGAAAUAUAAGACCUGCUCUGAGAGAGCAGAGAAAGCCUCUGCUGUCGACUGCCUCUAAAAAUGGCUUGCCUUACACAGGCCGGAGACUGGAGCCUUUUCCGCUGAGAAGUUCCCUGGAAGGAGCCGUUGUUCUCCGGAUCUCCUCGUCAAGGAGGAGGUCGGCCUCGCCGGGGACGCCCGGCAGACUCCAGGCUCUGCGAUGCCCAGCAGCCUUGGAGGGCGACUUUGCCCACCGUCCGCUUCAGGGCCUGUGGGACAAACAGAGACAUUAUGAACAAAAGACCUUGCAAAUGAGUAAACAAGCUGGGCAGCUCCUUGCGCCAGACGUAGACACGCAUGAGGCGCCCGGCUCUACACGUGACCGAGGGGUUGUGAUGGGGGUAUGAAAGGUUGUAAGCACCUACAAUAAAGGUCUUUGUUCUGCACCAGCAAUGGAGUCCGUGUCACACUUGCCACCAGGGCCCCCUUCCAUCAGCAGGUUGCUGCAGUUUUCCAUUAGAUGCACACAUGGGUGAACAUCUGGUUAUUCAUGGUGCCUGUGCUGCUUUUCUGGUCAUAAGUUUGUAGCAAUAUGUGAUAUUGAAAGACGUAUGCAUCGUGCACCUUUCAAUGGUUGCCACAGUGAUUAAAUGGAUGCAUUCUUCCAUGCCCAGUGUUACAAAGGCUGCUCCAAAGGUAUUUCCUCCCAUAUGAUGAUACCGGCCCAUGGCAUCAGAGGGGGAUGUUGGUGGGAUGGCGGUAGAGGUUGACCCCCUCUGCCAACAGUGAGCACAGUGAGGCACUGGGUCGCGUGGUUCAGCAGUGGUGACAGCGAGAGUGGGUUACUCCCACUGGUGCAGGUGUUUAGGACCGUGGCAUGCAGACUGUCAACCACCGCUGAUGAAAAUGCACAGCUAAUUGUUGUAACUACGCUGAAAAAUAGCUUUGUGAAGCGGAGAAUUUGAUCUAUCAAACAGCGUUAUUUUGCUCUUUGUAUCGGUAGCAGUUUUGAAGGAAAUAGGGGAGGCAUUAUUUUUGGAGCAACCUACCUAAAUUUCUAGUACUUCCAUACCCACAUGCUAAUGAUGAGGACGUGCUAACACUAAGAACUAAUGAUGAGUGAAAGAUGUGAGUGGUGCUCCAGGGGGGUCCGGACUGAGGGCCGUGGGGAAGAAGUGUUGAUCGGCUUGAGGGCCCUAUAAAGGGAUGGGGAUGGCUGGACGGAUGGGCCGAGCGCAACUGGAUGAGGCCCCAGAAGCCCAAGUGCUGGCUGCUGCUCUUUGCUCACAGCAACCCCAGGCAACACCGCAGUGCUGCAGCACCGUGCUCCGGUGCCCAAGAAGGCCCAGGGCAUCCCGGGUGGUAGCAAAAUGCUGCAGCCAGCAGGAGCAGGGAGGCGAUCGUGCCCCCGUAGCCGGCACUGGUGAGGCUGCACCUCAGGUGCUGCGUUCUGUACUGGGCCCCCCCCUCACUACAAGACAGACAUGGAGGCCCUGCAGUGUGUCCAUGGAAGGGCAACGGGGCAGGAAAGGGUCUGCAACAAAAGUCCCAUGAGGAGCAGCUGAGGGAAGUGGGACUGUUCAGUGCAGACGAGGCUCGGGGGAGGCCUGAGCACUGCGCAUCACUCCCUGUAAGGAGGUUGUAGUAAGGUCGGGGUCGGCCUCUUCCCCACGUAACAGCGACGGGACGAGAGGGAACGGCCUCAAGUUGCCCCAGGGGAGGACCCCGUUGGAUAUUAGGAAGAACACCUCUGCUGAAAGAGCAGUCGGGCACUGGCACAGCUGCCCGGGGAGCUGCGGGAGUCAGCGUCCAUGGAGGUGUUCCAGGACCGUGGGGAUGUGGCACUGAGGGGCGCGGGCAGUGGGCAGCUGCGGGGGUGGACGGUGGCACUUGGUGAUCUUAGAGGUCUUUGCCAACCAGAGAGAUUCUGUCAUUCUGUGAAUGGAGCCAUUUAUUGCAACGAGAGGUAAUCAGCAGCAAACAACCAAAGAGGAACGCCUCGAGAACAUCACGGGAACACGGAAACACUUGACUGGGAUACUGAUGGAGCCACAGGCCCGGGAGCAUUCAGGUGGGGCCAGGAGGCUGGAUGUGUGGCCCAGUGCCUUCAGCAGCACCAACACGCCGGGUUCCUGCGGGGCUGCGUCCGGCACCGGGCCCCUCACUCUGCGCUGGCUGCAGGAGCCGCCGCCCUCCUGCUGGGGUGCCCUCACCCCUGUGACGUGUGAUGGUUCCACAGGGGGUGGCACAGAGCGGCCAUUGUGACCCAUGGGGUGUGGAACAGAGCUAAGGCUGCGGGGCUCAGGCCAAGCUCAGUGCGACUUGGUGAGGUGAGCAGGGAGGAAGGGGCUGCCUGAGGCUGCCGAGGGAGGAGGGUUCCCCAGCGCUCGGGGGCCUGAGCUGCGAACUCAGCCUCGUCCCGCUUCUCCCAUAGGUUGGCACGCGGAGGAGAAAGCCUGGUGUUGCUGGGACAGACACUCUGCGAGUGCUCACAGUUGAUGCACACGAUGUCCGAGGGGACACAGGAGGCCGCCGGCUCGAGGGAGCCUGGUGAGAGCAAAGUAUCCCUGCACGCAGUUCCCUGCCUCCGGGCAGAGGGGUGCUGGGGGUCUGCCUGCGGCGGACAAGGGAGGUGGGG